AUUCUAAGGUGAGCGAGAGAACUCUCGUUAAGGAACUCGGCAAAAUGACCCCGUAACUUCGGGAGAAGGGGUGCUCUUUAGGGUUCACGCUCUGAAGAGCCGCAGUGAAUAGGCCCAAGCGACUGUUUAUCAAAAACACAGGUCUCUGCUAAACCGUAAGGUGAUGUAUAGGGGCUGACGCCUGCCCGGUGCUGGAAGGUUAAGAGGAGUGGUUAGCUUCUGCGAAGCUACGAAUCGAAGCCCCAGUAAACGGCGGCCGUAACUAUAACGGUCCUAAGGUAGCGAAAUUCCUUGUCGGGUAAGUUCCGACCCGCACGAAAGGCGUAACGAUUUGGGCACUGUCUCAACGAGAGACUCGGUGAAAUCAUAGUACCUGUGAAGAUGCAGGUUACCCGCGACAGGACGGAAAGACCCCGUGGAGCUUUACUGUAGCCUGAUAUUGAAAUUCGGCACAGCUUGUACAGGAUAGGUAGGAGCCUUAGAAGCGUGAGCGCCAGCUUACGUGGAGGCGCUGGUGGGAUACUACCCUAGCUGUGUUGGAUUUCUAACCCGCGCCAUUGAUCAUGGCGGGAGACAGUGUCAGGCGGGCAGUUUGACUGGGGCGGUCGCCUCCUAAAGUGUAACGGAGGCGCUCAAAGGUUCCCUCAGAAUGGUUGGAAAUCAUUCAUAGAGUGUAAAGGCAUAAGGGAGCUUGACUGCGAGACCUACAAGUCGAGCAGGGUCGAAAGACGGACUUAGUGAUCCGGUGGUUCCGCAUGGAAGGGCCAUCGCUCAACGGAUAAAAGCUACCCCGGGGAUAACAGGCUUAUCUCCCCCAAGAGUUCACAUCGACGGGGAGGUUUGGCACCUCGAUGUCGGCUCAUCGCAUCCUGGGGCUGUAGUCGGUCCCAAGGGUUGGGCUGUUCGCCCAUUAAAGCGGUACGCGAGCUGGGUUCAGAACGUCGUGAGACAGUUCGGUCCCUAUCCGUCGUGGGCGUAGGAAAUUUGAGAGGAGCUGUCCUUAGUACGAGAGGACCGGGAUGGACAUACCUCUGGUGUACCAGUUGUCGUGCCAACGGCAUAGCUGGGUAGCUAUGUAUGGACGGGAUAAGUGCUGAAAGCAUCUAAGCAUGAAGCCCCCCUCAAGAUGAGAUUUCCCAACU
rnacentral:rRNA from 1 species